rfam:Zootermopsis nevadensis contig23914, whole genome shotgun sequence.
GCCACGGUGGUCUAGCCGUUAGAACGCUGGCCUUGUAAUCCUGGGGUCUCGGGUUCGAUUCCCGGCGGUGCCC